GAUGAACGCUGGCGGCGUGCCUAACACAUGCAAGUCGAACGGAGUCCAGCCUUUAAGACCUUCGGGUCAAAGAGGGGAAGACUGAGUGGCGGACGGGUGAGUAACACGUGGGCAACCUGGCUCAUAGAGGGGGAUAACAGAGAGAAAUUUCUGCUAAUACCGCAUAAGCACACACUGCCGCAUGGCAGAGGGUGAAAAGAGAAUCGCUAUGAGAUGGACCCGCGUCUGAUUAGCCAGUUGGCAGGGUAAGAGCCUACCAAAGCGACGAUGAGUAUGCGCACUGAGAUGAUGAACGGCCAAGCUGAGAUUGGGACACGGCCCAACCUCCUACGGGAGGCACCAGUCGGGAAUCUUCGGGAAUGGGGGCAACACUGACCGAGAAACGCCGCGUGAGUGAAGAAGGUUUUCGGGUCGUAAAGCUCUGUUGUAAGUCAAGAACGGGUGUGAGAGUGGAAAGUUCACACUGUGACGGUAGCUUACCAGAAAGGGACGGCUAACUACGUG
rnacentral:rRNA from 1 species